rnacentral:sRNA from 1 species
ACUGGGUGUGGUGGCGCACACCUGUAAUUCCAGCAGCUCUGGAGGCUGAGGCAGGAGGAUCUCAAGUUCAAAGCCAGACUCAGCAGUGGCAAGACACUAAGCAAGUCAGUGAGACCCUGUCUCUA